AUAGUUCAGUUUCAGUGUGGCUAAUAGUGUUAAAAACUGGCCGGGCGCGGUGGCUCACGCCUGUAAUCCCAACACUUUGGGAGGCCGAGGCGGGCGGAUCACCUCAGGACUCCAAGGCUCUAAGGAUGGAAGAGUCAUAAUUGGAAAGAGCCUGGGUACCUGAAUCACUGUAUGGAGGAAAAUCACUUGCUGAGCAGGAACAUCCUCAUUGGACUAGCUAUGUGGAGUUUUGCUCUUGUUGCCCACGCUGGAGUGCAAUG
rnacentral:lncRNA from 1 species